rnacentral:rRNA from 1 species
UACGUAGGGUGCAAGCGUUAAUCGGAAUCACUGGGCGUAAAGCGCACGUAGGCGGAUUGCUAAGUCAGGGGUGAAAUCCUGGAGCUCAACUCCAGAACUGCCUUUGAUACUGGCGACCUUGAGUCCGGGAGAGGUGAGUGGAACUGCGAGUGUAGAGGUGAAAUUCGUAGAUAUUCGCAAGAACACCAGUGGCGAAGGCGGCUCACUGGCCCGGUACUGACGCUGAGGUGCGAAAGCGUGGGGAGCAAACAGG